AUGGGCAGCUCCCGGGGCACUUGGCCUCGCAAGGUGCUCACUGCUGUUACUCUCUCCUCUCCAGCAUGCGUGUUCUGUGGCCGAAUGGACGAGGACUCGUGCAUCCUUGGCCGCAGACGUCAGGGAUAUGGGCUCUCCUUCCAUUCUUUCUGUAUGGUGAGUUCCCUUCUGCCUCCUUCCUCUUCCUCCUUCCUCCAAGGAAUGGUCUCUCUUUCAGUCCUAACAAGGUCACACUCUUUCCUCUUGUACAGGGUAUUUGCCAAUGGUCUUUAUCGACCAGGAGCAAAUAACGGAAAUGCCCGUUUUCAUAUAGAAGACCUGAUAUGUACAGUGACGGAGGCAGAGAAGAUGGUGAGCACUGGAUCGGAACAGGGAGCUUGGUGCCAGGAGAGCUUAUCCUGGCCCCAUGAAAGCAAUCCCAGCCCCUCCUCCCAGCUCCAGGAGAAACUCCUGCUCUUGCAGACGAGCCCUGUUCACCAGGCAGCUCUGCAGAGUGCACCCAGCCCUGCCCGCAUCCUGCGCCAUGCCCAGAGGUGCGGGGCCUGCUGCUUAGGCCCUGAGCCUGCAUCUGAUGGGGGCUGCUCUGCUCUUUCCAGCUCUGCUUCGUUUGUGGCAAUUCAGGGGCCACCGUCAUCUGUGCAGAACGGGGAUGUGAGCGGAGAUUCCAUCUCCCCUGCGCCCCUGAGGGUCAAUGCAUCACCCAGUACACUGGAGCACUCAGGUAAGGGCUGCCAGGUGUGGCCUGUGGGCCUCCAACCCUGCAGUCAGCACCAGCCAAAGCAGCGAGGAACGCGCGCUGCGACACCUCCCAGCAGCCUGACAGAGCCAGAGCCAUGGCCUGGGGCUCCUUCCUGUUCCUCGGCCCUCCUCACAGCCCUUCUCACCUCUUCCAUCCCUUCCAUCUUCCCCCAGGACAUUCUGCUGGGAGCACCGCCCGCAGCAGGCAGUGCAGGCAGCACCGGCACCAAACACGACCUGCGUCAUCUGUAUGGAGCCUGUAGAUGA
rnacentral:lncRNA from 1 species